rnacentral:rRNA from 1 species
UGGGGAAUAUUGCACAAUGGGCGGCAAGCCUGAUGCAGCGACGCCGCGUGCGGGAUGGAGGCCUUCGGGUUGUAAACCGCUUUUGUUCAAGGGCAAGGCACGGUUCUUCGGCCGUGUUGAGUGGAUUGUUCGAAUAAGCACCGGCUAACUACGUGCC